UUUUGUCAUAUUACAUGCUUUCCUGCUCGAGAACGCGUCAGGCAUCUGGCUGUAGAAGGUAGUAUGGAGUUUCGCUAAUAUUCAAGCAGUUUAUCAGUUUCUGACUGUUAGAAUAUAAACAACUACAAGAAUAUACCGUAAAUCUAUAUAGAUGUCCUUUGACUGUUCGCCGAAAUCAUUUUUGCCCCAGUCGGUAGGUCACUAGACGUUAC
rnacentral:lncRNA from 1 species